rnacentral:rRNA from 1 species
UCGGAGGCAGCAGUGGGGAAUCUUGCACAAUGGGGGAAACCCUGAUGCAGCGACGCCGCGUGAGCGAUGAAGCCCUUCGGGGUGUAAAGCUCUUUCGUCAGGGAAGAUAAUGACGGUACCUGGAGAAGCAGCUGCGGCUAACUACGUGCCAGCAGCCGCGGUAAUACGUAGGCAGCGAGCGUUGUUCGGAGUUACUGGGCGUAAAGGGUGUGUAGGCGGUUGUUUAAGUUUGGUGUGAAAUCUCCCGGCUUAACUGGGAGGGUGCGCCGAAUACUGAAUGACUAGAGUGCGGGAGAGGAGAGUGGAAUUCCUGGUGUAGCGGUGAAAUGCGUAGAUAUCAGGAGGAACACCGGCGGUGUAGACGGCUCUCUGGACCGUAACUGACGCUGAGACACGAAAGCGUGGGUAGCAAACAGGAUUAGAUACCCUUGUA